AUGAUUGGCUGCACCUCUGAUGAAAAUAAAAGUUACAGAAACCCUGACUUAUUUAAAAAUAUAUGUCUGGUUUUUCUAACACCAAUGUCUUUGUGUCUCCAACUGCUCUGGAAAUGUCUCACUUCAAAACUAUCAGGGGGCACUGUGGGGCAUUCACUUCUCUCUCCCUGGGCAGCAAAAUCUCAGUCUGCUGCUACAGAGAUAAUUAGUGAUACAUUCUGGAGUGAACCUUACCUCUGCUGGUGUGUGGACGCUGUGGAAUCAUCACUGAUACAAUGAAGGGGGCUGUUGAAUUACAGACAUGGAGUUGGCCUGGCAAAUGCGGCAAAUUAAUAAUACAUCACCAGAAGGCUUGGAAGCCUUUUACUGUGGUUGCUCUGUCCUCCCAGUUCUCCUUCUUUGAAGACAUAAACUUAAAUAUGUAUGGGUUAACAUUUCAGCAACAAAGACCAGUUUAUUCUCUCUGAGGAGAACACCAAUACUCAAAAGAUUUCCAUCAAUUCAUAGUGCUUACUUGUAGAAUGUUUUCUUUAUUUCUGUAGCAUUUUAUCUAAGCUGCUACAUUAUUGUCUUUCUGGGAUAUUUAUUCUGCAGUCCUCUUUCUCAAAGCCUCUUAGAAAAUGCCUUGUUGAUGAUCAUCUGGCCACGAUCACUUGACAUGCUAAGAUUUAAGGGAUAUGUUCAAGCAGGUUAUCAUCAGGCAUUCUCUAUAUUUCAAAUGUUCUUACAUUUGUCUGUUCAAGGUUACUCAGAAAAAAUAAUUAUGUAAUAUAUUCAGACACAUUUCUUACAUUUGCAAGAAAUAUUCUAUGUAGAGUGCUACUCACACAGAUGUAUCCAUACCAUAUAUAUAGAUUUAUAUAGCUGACUGCGGAUAUCAGCAAUACCUUUAUAUUUACAUAUUUUAAAUAUGAAGACCCUAUAACCCUAGUAGAGACAUUUUUGAAAACUGGAAAAGAUGCCCUGAAUACCACCACCUUCAUAUAUUAUUGUUAGCAUGUUAUUGUAUUUCCUUCCAGUAAUCUGAUGCAUCUUAUACUGUGUAUCACUAUGUACACAAUGUUACAUCUGGUCUUUAAUCACUUAAAAUCACAACAUAAGCACUUUUUAAUGCCUCCUACAUAGUCUUUUAACUAUCAUGUAACUUCUGGAAUCAUAUCGCAUCAAAUGUACUUCACCUUGCCAUUAUUGGAUAUCUAGAUAAAUUCCAAUAUCAUGCCAUUAGAAAUACUAUGGUUUUAGUAUCUUCAUCCUUGAAGAUUUUAUCCUAGAUUUUGGAUUACUAUUUCUUUAGGAUAGAUCUCCAGAUAGGUUAUUAUUUGGUCACUAGUUAAAACUAUUUUUAUCAAAUUUGAUACAAUAUUACCAAAUAACUUUCCAAAAUGUAAUGACACCAGUAGUGUUUAAGUGCCAUUUUCAUGAUACUUUUGCCAUGCUGAUUUUUAUCAUUACUACUUAUUUACAUACUAAAUUUCUUAGGUGGAAAAAAAUUAGUAAGACUGAACAUCUUUUCAUUUGCUUGGUUUCUAGUUUCUUUGUGUGUGUGACAUAUCUGGCGUGUUCUUUGAGUGUGCUCUUAAAAUUGUCUUAUUGACUGCAUAUACUGUUGUUUCCUUGAAUUUCCACAUUAAAAUCUCUUAAUAUUCAGUACAUAGAUACUGAAAGUAAGUUACGAUCAAUUUCUAGAAUCUGUUCAUAUGGAUAAAGAUAAAAUAUAUCCCCAGUAUUUCUCCAGAAUAUUUUUAAAUUUGUAUUUUGAUUAUUUUAUACAAGGAAGCUUAAAAUGUUUGCAUAUUAACAUGUUUUCAUGCACGAAAAUCUUUUCAUAAUAUUUAUAACCUUAUGUACACAGUGUCAAUGCUUCUCAUAAAGUUUCAUCUUCUAGUUCCUUGCAUUUAAAACACAAUUUAAUUUUAAAUAUGUACCUAGAAUUUUUUCUAGUGUAUGGUGAAGUGAACAUUUUUUUAACCAUGUUUUAAAUCAGUUCUUACAACAUAAUUCAAGUUUCCCGCCAGUUUGCCUUGCCUCUGUUAUCAGCUAUUAAUUAUUUAUGAACCAAAAUAUCUACUUUUGACCUGUCUAUUCUAUUUCAGUGUUUUUAAAUUUCAUAUUCUAGGACUAGACCUGCAGUCCUUUAACUAUUACAACCUAUAAUAGUUAAUCCCUUCUACUUUACAUUUCUUUUAAAUAUUUUCUUUUAUAAUUUCUCAAAUUAUAUCUCUCAAAUAAAACUUAUGGAAUCUUUUAAAAAUAAAGUUUA
rnacentral:lncRNA from 1 species